rnacentral:tRNA from 1 species
GGGAAUGUGGCUUAGUGGUAGAGUGCUUGCCUAGCACGCAUGAAGCCCUGGUUUCAAUUACUCAGUACCA